AGUACAUUUUACUGUCGGGUUCGGUUUUCAUCGAUGGAUCCAUGUAUUUGCCCAGGAGCAGGUUAGUUUGGUCUUUAUUUUUAUUAACGGUAAUAAAUAUACAUGUAUAUAUUCGAUUAAUUUAUAUACAGUAUGUAACGACUCAGUUGCGUUCAGUCUUGUAACGUUACAUAUAUUCGGUAGUGUAGCGAUGCAUUUGUCGGAAUUGCCUUUGGUACCAUUAACGUGCCACACCUGAUUUUAAAAAGCCGUGCCACAUUGGACUUGUGCAUUAUCCCCGUCUUUGACAUACACCUGAUACGACUCUUCCGGGUUAGCAUCAUCCAAAUCGUACCUGAACGGCGCCAGAAUUAAAUCGGAGUUCGUCCUAAAGUGGCAUCCGGCAAAAACAGGUGUCGAAUCAUUUGGGAGGUCAGGAAUAGGGUCAACCCCAACAAGGACGCAGGGGAGGGCGAAUCUCGGCAGGACACGAAACAAGACCGGUUGGACAAGUACCCAGUCAUCUGCCUUCCUCGUAGCCAGUUGAACAAUCCUAGGCAUGCCACUAUGCAUUCUGGGAUACCUACUUGGCCACUUUCCGGUAAGAAGUGUUCCCGCCACCUUCGAUCCUCGGUGGGAUACGUGUGGCCAGUGUGGCGGGAUCGUGUCGUAGGUCAUGACCUCAAAGCUACCAUGUGCAGGUAAGAAUUGUCUAUUUACUAUCUUUAGUCGUUGCCAAAAUUAUUAGAAUGGGCGUUAUAUCCGACACUCGACCGAUGACAGUGGAUGUCUGUACAAAUUCAUUUCUUACCUCUCCAAACUGAGGCCUCUAUGGAAUCGGACCUGCCGAACCAAAAAUUUUCACUCCUUAUACUAUUAAUAAUAAUGAAUGCGUAGGCUAAUAAUAUUAAUAGGAAAGAUAAAAUUAAAAAGCGAGAGCAACCUGUCGUUGUUGGAUCCAAAAAAAGUAUAUAUUGUGCAACAGGUUCCUUUCUGGUACGGCCUCUAGCCAUUUUGUAAAAGUUGUUAUUGUAAAAGACCAGAUAAAUAGCGUUUGUUAACUUUUUCGGUGCAUUGUACCGAAUAAAAAAUAUAUAAGGGGCGACAGUCGGACGUCACGAAUAGCUAAGGUAUGCGGUUCUAAAUGUAGCGAUACAUCACGAAAGGAUGCAAUUUUUUAUGAUUUAUGAAUUGCCCUUAAUCCAAUAAACAUAAAAAACAUAGCUACAGGGGCAUUUUCCGAAUUCGGCGAGGUGCUGAACCUUCUUCAAUCUUCCUCCUCUUUCCAUUAAAUUUCCUGCAUAAAAUCGGUAGAGAAAAAAUUGUACCGUAUUCAUAUCGUUGUAGCAGUUGAAGUUGAUAAAUUAUCAGCCGUUCAAUAGAAAAUAUGUAAGAUGUGUGUGUGUGUCACAUAGGAUCGGUAUUAAAUACACAAUUUAGUUCUGCAUUUUAAUAUAUAUAUAUAGAAUAUAAAUAAUUUUUUGUUGGAAAAACAUUUAAUGGUGUUAACAUGAAUAAUGCAACGGCAGGUGGUUCACCCGAAAUGUUAAUUUGCUCCCUCCGAAGAAUUUUAAUGCAUUUCUUCAAAUACGAAUGGCGUAGCACCCAUCCGAUUGUGUAAGGUUGGUUUGGCUGUGCACGUGCUGGGCUUGGUCCUUCUCACUGGUAUGCGGGGUAUACGGGGAUACUUUACCAUUGGCCCACCAAAAAUGUACUUAUGCGGGGGUCGUUCGAUGUCACGUGUAUUAUGGGGCUUUAUACAUUAUAGAUUCUUCCGAUAGAGGGCCGGAGAUGAAAGGUGAUACGUCGAUGGGUUCUCGCUGUCGCCUGAAUUGAAGAUAUUUUAGCUUCUCUAUAUUUUAGGAUAGAAGCUUAAAUGGAGCUCAGUCUAUGUUGAAACUGCGUUUCCAUUUUAGUAGACUUAAGCACGCAUGAAUGGGAGCCGUCUAUUGUUCGGCCGUCCUUUGUGCCCACCGACUUCUUACAGGUAAAGCUAAGUUUAAGAUGCCAAUCUUGUUGACGUCAUCAAGUCACGUGUGAAGUUGAACGACCGCGGAAUCGACCAACAAUUUUUAGACUGUGCACAUAUCCAUCUGUAGGAUUUACACUCUUAAUAAAUCUCCAGACGCUCGGGAAGUAACUUCCUUAAAAGUGUUUUUGGAGCGAGAUACAACCAGCUUUUAAAGACUUGACUUUCUCCAUUUUCUCACGGAGCGACAAACCGGAAAUAGACUGCUUUGGCAGCCUGGCUUUCUACUUCCGUUGGCGUCGAGGUGACGUCAUCGAAAGGGACUGAUGAUAAAAUUUGAUUAGAAGAAAAAGGAGUCCAGCAGCUCGAAUGAUUUCCCUUUCAACUAUAGCUGCUGUGUUUCAAAUAAAGUACAGUAAAGGCGUUGUUUGCUUUCUGUAUAAAAUAAAAAAUGAAUGAACUGUAUUGGAUUUAAAGCUAAGAAAAUUGCGCCACUUAACCUGACUAGAUCGAAUGAUACCAACUAAGUUUUAAAUGUCUACAUACUUCACAAUACAAAUUAUUGUCGCGUUUUUGACGCAAGAUUCUCUACCCAUCCUUUUUAAUCGUGGAUUAAACUGUGUUGAUUAAUGCAGCUUCAUCUUUAUACAUUAAAAUGCAGUUUUGUUCAGAUUAUCGGCCAAAGCGAAACACCACACUAGAUCGAUUUAUUGAGAUUAAUUUUUUCUUUUUUUAUUUAUUAAUUGACAACAUUAGGAGCUUAGCUUCCUUCUUUUGUUUUUAUUUUUGUUAAGCCAUUUAUUUGAUUGCCAUUUAAGUGCAGAAGUCUUUGACCUUGACGCACUGUUAAUGUGUGACUCUGUUGUUCUGACUUUCACUUGGAUUUUUCGAGCCUUUUUCUCCUAGAAGUCGUACUAAAAUAAAUAGUUUCUUAUAGUUAAAAAUAAUAAUAGUGUAAUUGGAAUAAUACCUGUCAUAAAUACGAUUUAACUAGUUGAAUUGUAUUAUUUUUCCUUGUGCACAGAUAAUUGCAAAGAUCUCUAGUAAACAUUUCGAGGAAAGUAAUAUCCUGUCCAACAGGUAAAGGAGUUAAGUUCCCCUCUCUUGGCUACAUACAUCAUCCACGUGUUUUAGAAAAUAGCAUUUUUCCUGUGGCGCAACUUAGUAAGUAUUGUUUUCGACACAACGGACGGAACUCUCCGUACCCCCGAGGAGUUCUUUUCCUGUGGAAUAUAACGACCUGUAUGAGUUAAAAAAGAAGAGCGAUAAUCUUCGAAUAGGAAACAAUAUCCGCUCCGAAAGAUAAGAACCUCAUUAAGAAGUUAAUAAGUACCAUGCGUGUAGCAUAAUGUAAGGAAUAUCGAAAGGUUCUUUUAUUAAAAUGCCGGAUGAGUAAUUGCUGUUGACAAUUUAUCGAGCAUGCUCCGUUCACUUCCGUAUAUCACGUCCGACUAGUCGGGUGACAUUUUUCUCCACUUCAUUUCGUCUGCAUUUCCAUCUGUAAUUACUACGUCGCUCCAUCUCAAUAAGUUGCGCAUCGAUAAAUUUUAUUCCUAUUGUAUCUGUAUAUCGCCAUAAAUUUUAUUCCUGUUUUUGAGCGCACCCUUUAUAUCUUGCAAAUUUUUAUUGUAUCCUACGCCUUGCGCGGUGGUGAAAUUAAGCGUGUCCCCUUAUUGCAUUUUUGUGCAAUAAGGCGAACGUGGUUAAUUUUAUAUCCGCGCAAGGCGUCAUAUUUGCAUUUUUAAACUUAUAAACGAUGGUUCUGUUAAAGGCGCAUCAGACUAUCGAUAAAGAAGACAUCAAAUGGAUACAUAUAUAUAUAUUCCGCCCGCUAUUAAUGGUAGUCGAGACUACAUUUUUUCGAUAUUAAGAUGUCUCGGAUUGAAACUUGACAAAUAAUAAAUGAAAAAUGCUGGGCGUGUAGAAUCGAAAGUUUAUUUUAGGCUUCUCCAUCUCUUCCCCAAAGAAUGAUUUUUAAAUUUCCAGAAUAAGAAACUAAAAGUAAAAAGCAAAAAAUUGCGGGUCUUUUUGGGCACUUAGGUGACGCAACGUCAUAUUUCUCUAUAUAGAGAAUCCGUUACUUAUCUCGGCUUCAUACAUCAAGCAAUUGUGAGGAGAAGGCAGGCAAUCAAUUUUCCUUCACCCGCUUUACUUCCACUUCCGAAUGAGGUGACAUCAUAACAUCAGAUAACUUCUGCCGAUAAGGCGAUAAAAGUUGUGUACGCGCUGUUCUAUUAUUUGCUUCCCCCAGAAAAAGUAGAAUUCAUUAAAAUCCUAUCAUUUUCUGACAGCAGCUAUCGGGAUUAGAGAGCGGGGUUGGCUAGCUAACUACUUAAGUUAACACAUUAACGCUUUUCGGCUUGAUUAAGCUUUGGAAAAAGAUUUCCUUCUCCCCGCAACUUUCUCAUUAGAGGAAACCCGGAGAUUUCUUCCUGCCAGGUGGCUUCCGCAUUUUCACUUUCAUUUCCGAAUGGAAACUUCCAACCACCAGCGAGGUUCAGUUCGGACGAUGAUUUGCCAACCGCUUAACGUCCUGUAUCUGUUGGAAAAGGAGAUGGCGUGCCACUGUACCUCCCACUCGUCACGCGAGCCUUGUAAUUACUUGUCGCCGGAUGGAAUCCUUAUCUGCACCCAGAGUAGUAAAGCACAAAUGGAAUUCUAUCCUCCUCCCUAAUGUUUUGUUGCCAGAAAGAAAAAAAUUGAUGUUGGCAGUUGGCUAGAAGAGCGACCCAAAUUGGGUCGACUAAUUGCCGACCAUUAACGAAAUUGUCUCACGGUCUUGUUGUAAACAGAAGGCUAAUCGCCUCGGAUCAACAAAGUUUAAUUUUUGUAAAUUGGAUCCACUCCAUAAUCGACAGAACGGUUGGGAGAGUCGAUAAAACUUCAGUUUCCAUGGCCAAGAACGAUACGCCUGAAAUAAAUAGGAACCAACCAAAGUCAUGGUUGGGAGUCACAUUGAUAAAAAUCACUUUUGAAAGUGUGAUGGAAAUCAUUGUCUGUGGCAAAGGGGUCAAAAUCGGCGUGUGUGGCCAGCCAAGAACUGUAUAGAUACUAAAGCGCCAACAGGUGACCUUAAUAAGGUGUCGGAUGUGGAACCAAAGCGGAUCUACCGGGAAUCGGUGGGGCGUGAAGACCGUUGUGCAGCGAAAAACUGGGUUAACGGAGUGAAUCUUUCGUCAAUUCCUACCCAUUGUCUGCCGAAAGUUUGAAUAGAGGAGUUAACUAAAACACAGAAUUCCUAAUUAGAUUAAUAGUGACGACAGUCAAAUAGUUACGUAAUCGGCAAUUAGAAAUGCUAGAUUUUUUCCCUAGAAACUUAGAUUAAAUACUUUUAAGCCAGUUUCUAACAUUUUAAUUGGCUAAUGGCCACGCGCACGGCCUUUAAUGUGACACGGAUCGGCACAUUACGCAGUUAGAUGCACCUUGCACCGAACGAUUCAUAAAUCAAAUUAAUAUCCAAAUUAAUUUCCGCGUUGGUGUGCGGCGAAUUGUUGGGAUCGAAAGCGGAAAUUGGUAGUUUUAAGCCAUUGCUCGCCCCACUUUUCGAUCGAAAGGGAACAGUUGUUCGGAAGGAAUGGUUUUUAUGCGCCACUACUACACCUACACCAACGUUUUGUUUUGUUACUUUCCUCGAGGUGGUGUUGGAACACCGCUUCUAAGAACUCGUACUAGCUGAUCGAAUGACCACUCGUCGAUGCUCACUUAAUUUUAGCAACUGGCCAUACCACUUAGGUAUCAGUUACACGUUUAUGAAAGGUUCUCGAUUUGACACGCGAUUGUUUUUGCCUCUGCCCGUCUGUUCAGACUGCUCUUAUUUUAAAGACCACGUUAAAAACUGCUGCUACAGUCUACUUACUGCCAAUACUCGUCAACUGGACUUAUCUGCGAAGUUAUGCCAUUUUGUCUGGAUAAUAUUUACGCACGCUCCUUCUUACUGCCACCGAAUCAAAGACUCGGUUCGACCGUCAAAUACCAUAAAUGGCGUUUUUUUCAGGCGGGUAAAGAUAUCGGGUGGUAAUUUUAAACCGCUUUGGCUAUCGGAACGGGUUUAAUUAUGCCUUUAUUACUACAGUAGUAGUAAAAGAGUAGCGGCGGUUAGGUUCUGCCAACGGCCGCGAGGGGAGCUGCUAUCGGCCUGAUGGAUUUACGCCGGCUCGGUACCACGGGCCGACCAGUGGCGAUGUCGAAAGCGAAUGGGCUAGUGCUCGACCGUAGCCUUGGGUAAUAAGGUCGGAUAUGGAAGCCCUCAGAAGAAGACACAGUUCGUUUAAAGAGGGCACUAAGAAGACUUGUAUAGCCAAGAGGAGAUUCUCGAUAUGGUGAGUCUGUUGGGUAUUGGCCAGGUUUUGAUCUUUCUGUCGGAAUUAUAUUAUAUACAGAUUGUUAAUCGGUAGAAAUAAGGCCCUCAUCUGGACAGUUGAGAUCUUAUACUUUUCCAAAAUAUUUUUCUCUCGAUAAAUAUUUCGGGAGAAAGUUUCAGCCGAUGUAUAUCGUUCUGACAGCUUCUGUCACGAUCCGGUUGAGAUGUAGCAAAAUCAAGUUGGUGUAAAUAAAUCCGAGGUGGUUGGAUUAUUUGUAGUUCGGGUCGAUCGGUUAAUCUUCCUCGCUAAUUGAUGGGGAUUGUUGUUUUGUUGUGUUGGCUUUUGAAGAAGGAAAUCGGCUUUACUCGCGCGUCCAAGGCCGAUUCAUCACUCCAACUAAUCCAGACAAUGAUGUUGGUUACGCGGCCGUGAUUAUGCCGGAAAUAAUGAGGACGACACCGUUUCUUUGGGCUCUAUAGUCUACCGAAUGCCUGUCGCCCAUUGGUCUAACCUGCCCACACCAUUUCCUGUAAACCGAUAAUUCGAACCACACUUCCCGAGCGAGAAUUCUCUCUAAUCCGUUUGAUUUGUUUUUAAUCUUCCCAACAACCAGUUAUCCUCAGGAUUAACGACUGAUAACUCCUCGGUAUCGAAUAAACAUGGGUCGAAUGGUUGUUGGCGCCAUUCCCAUUUUAAGCUUAGAAAUUUCUAGGAAAAUUUCUGUUUAGACCCCUGCCAGUAUCGAGGGUGUGCUAAAUAAACUUACUUUAACUGAUUCACUAAGUCCAAGUUCUGUGUUUAUGUUUCUAGAUAAAUGUCUUUAGACCCGCGAGACAGGACAUUCUAACUCGUCUCUUUGUUUUAAUCUCCUUCAGAUCCUAUCUGAACUGGAUCUCAUUCUAUUUCCCAUCGAGUUGAUUCUGCCUUGUUGGUCAAUAUACCAAAGUGUGUUUUAAGAUAGAGAAUUGUAAAUCUCAUCCGAUUUUAUAGCCUACGCUAACGCCGAUCGCUUACGCGUGAAAGGGGAUUCGUUAUACACGACAGAUGCUUCCGUGGGACGCCAGGUUACGUGACGGAAAAGUCCCCCAGGUGGGUGUAGUUGAUGACUCAUCUUUGGUUAUCUUACGAACCUUAGUGACUCAGAACGGACCGAAGUUGAUCGGAUGCGUGGCGACAACGCCCAUGGUGCUUUAAUUAUCCUAAAUCGCUGGUUAAUUAUUUAUCAUAAAUUUUCCCAGGUGACUAUCGGGUUGGGAACUUUGCAUUAAAUUUAGCUGGAUUUACCCAAUACCAGAAGUUGAAUUACCUAAACAACAAAUUCGAAAGAAUUAAUCGAAGAUACGAUACCGGUCAUAAGUUGUGAAAACACAUCUGUGCAUUGUCUGAUCACUAGCUGUUAUCGAGUUUAUAAUAUGUUAAGUUGACAGCUUUAUACUAGAUUCGUUUUUGUUGCGAAUGGAGACAGGGGCCUCACCAUCACUGCUGCCGUAUCAAAAGCAUUGGGGGAUAAGUAGAUCGAAUAGGAAUAAAAAAGUUUUUCAUGAUAAAUCGACGCGAUCGCACCAUCUGUUUUUUUAAUAAAAGCGAUACGAUUGCGCUUAUUCGGAUAACAUCUGCCACUAAUAGUUAUUUUUCGGGAGGGUGGGCAUCUGUUAACUCCCAAACCGCCUUUCGUCUCAGUUCCCGUUCGUCCCGGACGACACGACAAAAGGGGUUAAUCGAAUUAGAAAACGAUAUCCUCUCGGGUAGCUGUAGUGUUCGCUUUAUUGUUAACGUAGAAGUAUCGAGGAAUUAUGACGCGGAGGAAGGUUGGAAAUUUGACCAAGGUCAUUUUGGAACGACGUAAAUGCCAUGAAAAAAGAGGAUAGGUUACGUCAUUACCAACGGAUGUCAGUGAGAGUCGACCUCCCGUUUAUUCCCAAUUUCGUUAUUAAAUUUCUUAUUUUUAGGAUAUAUCUUGUUAAUAUACUACAACUGGCGUAAGUUUUUAAAUGGUAUUUUGGUUGCAGUGUUCUGCCUAUUACCUACUCCUUUGUAUGCAGUGAAAACAUCUGUUCUUCCAUCGAACAGACGCCAUUGACGGGAAUUAAAAAAUGAUUACGUUUAUAUAAAUGGCGUCUUGAUCCCGGGCAUCCGACUUUAUUAGUUAUAAUUCUCUGGCUAACGGUCACCGACUUUUGUCAUUUGGCCCGUUCCCUCUUUCACCUUCUACUACCGACCAUUUUGCCAGUUGACGUGUGAAGAACAUUCUCUUCUACUCUUAGCAGAAGAUGAGGCUGAAGGGCGCCUUGGCUCUUUUCGGCAACGAUGCAAAGUAAGUGGUUGGGGAGAAUUUUUUUUGUCAGCCGGAAUGAAAUCUGUUAAUUUUAUCGAGGAAUCCUAAUGCGGUUCGUCGAUCUCCAUUCUUUGGCGUCAGUUGUGCCGCCAGUCUGGCUGCAGUGUAGUUUAAAAGCGAUGUAAAAUUGAAUAGAACCAAUAAGGAAAAUCUCCCGAGAUUAUUUUAGUCGAUUAGCUUAGAAAUGCAGAUUCAUCGUGUUUAGCGAAUUAUUUGGAAGUACAUUUAAAGCGGGAGAGAUUUUUAUUGCGCAUUCAACCACCAUAGAGCAAAAUAUCCGAAUUUCUUGAUACAAUAAGCGCGUGUGGCUAGCAAAACGUACAGUGGAAGUGCUACGGGACCUUCAUCAUUUGCACCUAUAUAAACAGUGCACGCUCUUCACCGUGCCUGUGUCACUCUUCCAUAAAUCACCGCUGGUCUUCGGACGAUGGGUGGAGUCGCUUCUCGGGAAUUAUUCAACGGAGCAUUCCCCGGCGGUCUUGUUUAAUAUUUAUCGGAUAAUCAGUUUUUCCGGGCGUUCUAGGGUCGAAAAGUGCGAUCCCUGGAGAGAUGCUUUUCAGACUCGUCUCUCCAGUCGAAUUAUAUUAAGGUCUUUGUUACUUGAAUGAUAGCUUUCAAUAAGGAAGAACCUAGUUAAACACGGCUGAAGGUUUUUAUUACGGCUCCAAUUACAGUUAUGAGCUGCAACGCCUGCCAUGGGAGUCAGACUAGGGCUUUUUAUUUGUCUAGUUGAAGUAUGGCAAUAAGUUUACCCGGCAUCCCUUUUUUCUUCCUAAAUCAAAUCGUAUCGAUACUCCACCAGGCGGCGCUGAUGCCGAAUAACUAGGUUUAAAUGAAUUUGGCCGGAAUAAGGAUGCAAAUGGCCCAGUCGUGUUUUUUUCCUGAUCAAAUCAGAGUUUGGGCAAGAGAAACUUGGCUCCUUUUUACAUAAUAAAACAUUUAGAAGGCGGGACUGCGUCGGUCGCGUGUGUUUUACUCUACUGAGUUUUGUCGACUCGGUAACAUCGCAGAUAAUCUUCUGAUAGAAUGCCUAAUGGUAGAGACAACAAAUCCCUCUAUUGUUAAAAACUAGUCGGACCGCCGUUUUUUCAUAUUCCCGAGCAUUAUCAUUUUUAAAACUUGUUCCUAUCCAUGGAACUUUUCUGGUCUAUCGCUGAUCGACCAGUGAGUAGGGAGUUCGAAUAUCUUAAGAAUUUGAUAGUUCGAUCAACCGAAUAACCUGAACGUCCAAUGCGUGUGCCUUGGCUACACCUGGUUAAUCCUAGUGUCGUGAGAACUAUCUAACGCUAUUCGAUGGGUUCAAGGUCUGUCGAACCAUCGUCUCCUAUCUGUCCAAUGGACUGUCCCAUUACUCAGCAGUCACCUCGUUCCUCUAUCAACUCCGACUCUACUUCCUAUGCUAAUUGAAUAUCUAGAAAUACCUCCGGAUCGAUAGAGCGUGGCGGUGGUUUCGGGUCACCUGGCCGCCAUGCCAUCUCUUAGAAUGUCUAUCGUUACUCGGAUGGCGCCCCUCCUUUCCAAUGGCCAUUCGGUAUUUGGGUGGUCUAGUUGGUGGAUAGUAAAUUCCCGCAAAUCCUCUAUUUGGAACUCGGAUCAGCAUCUCGCUUUAGGAAGUGUUAGCCGUUCCUCCAGGUUUAUUAAAGUUAAGAAAAUUCUCCAUUUCGCUUCUCCCGAUUUAUUGCUUUCGGCAAAAUCCUUGGUGUUUAAUAGUCUGCUGCCAUUCUCCAUUGUGCAAUUUUCGGAUUUUAGUAGUUUCUGUUGCGCUUUACCGCUAUUUUCAUUGUUCCAUUUUUGCCUGUAAAGACAGUUACGGUUUUUCUAAUUUGUUGCGCUUAGAAAAUUGAUUUAUCUUUUUAAAAACGAGAAUUAUAGGCUAGACCAUUAGAAAGUAGGAUGGAAGUUAAUGUGGCAGCCAGUAGUAACUUGGACGUAUCACAUAUUUGAAUAGUAAUUAGAUAAUGGAAAACCUUUGAUUCUCCCGCCGAAAGACUUUUCGGAUUAAACAAUAACAAAUUUCUUGUCCACUAGACCAGUUAUCCUCUUUCCCACUUCCAGUUUUUUAAGAGUCCGAACCGUCCGUAACUUUUCUCGAUAGAAAAAUUUUUGCUUUACUUAGAUUAUAAGACUAAAUUCUCUACUAAUUCUGUUAAAAACACAAUAGUUGAUGAUGUCUAGUUGUUGCAUCGAUUACGGCUUUGUAUCAAUAUUACUAAAAAUCAACCGAGAAUUCGCCAUAUUGAUAGUAGACUAACCAUUAACGCUUCUCACCACACUAAUAAUCGUCCGUGAUUAUUUCGCUACCACUUUCACCUGUUCGUUAGUCUGUACGUAAAUAUUUCAUCGCUUUCGUGAAACUUGACCACGUUUAUCUUUUGUUGAUGGUACGACCGGUAUCAGCAGGUCCAGAUGAUUUUUUCUGCACUUUCUACCGUCACUUUCUGUUCACUUGGGAUUUUUAGUUUCACUCCGUUUUUCCAUCGUAGUCAGAUGUUAAGAUGCGGAUCCAUCCCAGAAUCCAUCCACCGACUGCCUAUACUAGUAGAGGGGAUCGCCUGAUAGGUGAGGAAUGAGGAUUGAUGGAGGUAAUCCUGGAUUCACUCUAAAAAAACCGAAAAAAAAGGAUGUACGGGAUUAAACCAUUACAUAUAACCUCUCUUUCAUGAUAGGUAAGGGUAUAUCGGACUCUGAAUCAAUUGGGGAUUUUCCAGAUGAGGGACAGAUGCUUCAGCACAAAGCUUGUCAAACCUGAUUGGUAUAGAAUCGGAUGAAUAUUUAAUAUUUAGAAGAAUAAACGAAACAGGCUUUGGCCGACAAGCCCCAUCCAUAAUGAUUCUACAACAAUUAGUAUUAUUAUUUAAGUGGAAACUAGACCAAUGUAUUACUAGCCAAUAUAAUGGCAGGUGGAUAAAUAUCUCUCAUCUCUGAUAGAAAUUUUACAUUAAAGUACUAUUAAAAGUUAUAAUUGAAGAAUUAUAACUUUUAAUCAGACUACUUUAAAAAUAUUUAACUCGAAAAGUUAAUAAUUAUUUUUAAUUAAAAUUUUCAUGGUAGAAAAGAGUAGAAUUAUAUUUCGGAAGAUUAAGAUUCUUAACGGCGAAGAAUUCUCACCAAAAUAGUUAUGGUGGCGAUAAUUAUGUAGAAAAAAUAUUGGUGGUUGUUUGGCUGCAAAAGUGCACUUUAGGCCGGGACACGAGCUGACCGCGCGCUCUUUCAUGAUCCGGAGUCAUCGAUCAUGAAGAUAGGCACCACGCCCUAUUUUUACCAUCUUCGCGUUUUUACGACGUCUGUCAUCUGGGAACGGGUCGAUAAGUCGUACACCUGCUAAGGAAUGGACGCACUUUCACCGCCUUUCCACUGCUGGAUGAUUUAUAAAAUGCGCUUGGUUAACAUUUGAAUACAGUGCCAAAGUUAAAACUCUGAUCCCUUUCUCUUAAUUAUUAAUUAUCAUGUUAAAUAGAACGAGCGCGACCCGAAUUAUCGCGCCAACGGUCCAACCCGUUGGACCACACCUCCUCGCUAGUUACCAACUCGGUUCGCCAGACGGAGCCACCUUCGCCCACACACGUCUGGCCCCGCAGCAGUCGAACUUAGGCCCAUCUACAGACACGUCCGAUACAUCUUAAACCUUACGCACUACCCCAGACUUGGGAGUGACGGCCCGUGGGAGAGAGCUGACGUCACUAUCGACUUUCGCUAGCGUCGAGAAGCUGAUUUCGGCCAGAAUAUGGAAGUGUUAACUUCCACGUGGAUGUUCUCCGCUUUUGUUGUUGUUUAUCAAGCCACUGGCCUUGUCGGCUGCGGUGCACGUUGAUGCGGAUUCUACCAUCGCGUAUCGGAAGGGGAAUCCAGUGGAUGUGCCUCGUUGCUUAUAACCGAGACAAUGUCUAGAUCAAACAUGGAUUUGGUCUUGGCCGAACUGAAAACCAGUCAACGGUUUCAAAGUUUCGGAAAAAGGUCCGGGGGAAGCGGAAGACGGGUCAACGAAUGCCUCAUCCUCGAG
rnacentral:lncRNA from 1 species